rnacentral:rRNA from 1 species
AGCGAACGCUGGCGGCAGGCCUAAUACAUGCAAGUCGAACGCACCUUCGGGUGAGUGGCGGACGGGUGAGUAACGCGUGGGAACGUGCCCUUUGGUACGGAACAACUGAGGGAAACUUCAGCUAAAACCGUAUGUGCCCUUCGGGGGAAAGGAUUUAUCGCCAUUGGAGCGGCCCGCGUUGGAUUAGGUAGUUGGUGAGGUAAAGGCUCACCAAGCCUACGAUCCAUAGCUGGUCUGAGAGGAUGAUCAGCCACACUGGGACUGAGACACGGCCCAGACUCCUACGGGAGGCAGCAGUAGGGAAUCUUGCGCAAUGGGCGAAAGCCUGACGCAGCCAUGCCGCGUGAAUGAUGAAGGUCUUAGGAUUGUAAAUUCUUUCACCGGGAAGAUAAUGACGGUACCCGGAGAAGAAGCCCCGGCUAACUUCGUGCCAGCAG